rnacentral:rRNA from 1 species
AAGUGACUAAGCGUACACGGUGGAUGCCUUGGCAGUCAGAGGCGAUGAAGGACGUAUUAACUUGCGAUAAGCCCAGAUUAGGCAGUAAAAGCCACUUGAGUCUGGGAUUUCCGAAUGGGGAAACCCAACUGCAUAAGCAGUUACUGUUAACUGAAUACAUAGGUUAACAGGGCGAACCGGGGGAACUGAAACAUCUAAGUACCCCGAGGAAAAGAAAUCAACCGAGAUUCCGAAAGUAGCGGCGAGCGAAAUUGGACUAGCCCUUAAGCUUUACACGCGUUAGACGAACGGUCUGGAAAGUCCGACGAUACAGGGUGAUAGUCCCGUAGUUGACGACGUGUGUUCAGUGAAAUCGAGUAGGGCGGGACACGUGAUAUCCUGUCUGAAUAUGGGGGGACCAUCCUCCAAGGCUAAAUACUACUGACUGACCGAUAGUGAACCAGUACCGUGAGGGAAAGGCGAAAAGAACCCCUGUGAGGGGAGUGAAAUAGAACCUGAAACCGUGUACGUACAAGCAGUAGGAGCAGGCUUUGUCCUGUGACUGCGUACCUUUUGUAUAAUGGGUCAGCGACUUAUAUUCAGUGGCAAGGUUAACCAUCUAGGGGAGCCGUAGGGAAACCGAGUCUUAACUGGGCGUUCAGUCUCUGGAUAUAGACCCGAUGACUUGUGGCUAGGGGUGAAAGGCCAAUCAAACCUGGAGAUAGCUGGUUCUCCCCGAAAGCUAUUUAGGUAGCGCCUCGGACGAAUACUACUGGGGGUAGAGCACUGUUAAGGCUAGGGGGUCAUCCCGACUUACCAACCCUUUGCAAACUCCGAAUACCAGUAAGUACUAUCCGGGAGACACACGGCGGGUGCUAACGUCCGUCGUGGAGAGGGAAACAACCCAGACCGCCAGCUAAGGUCCCAAAUUACUACUAAGUGGGAAACGAUGUGGGAAGGCUCAGACAGCCAGGAUGUUGGCUUAGAAGCAGCCAUCAUUUAAAGAAAGCGUAAUAGCUCACUGGUCGAGUCGGCCUGCGCGGAAGAUGUAACGGGGCUAAGUAGUAAACCGAAGCUGCGGCAAUGUGCUUUUGCACAUUGGGUAGGGGAGCGUUCUGUAAGCGGUUGAAGGUGUGUGGUAACGCAUGCUGGACGUAUCAGAAGUGCGAAUGCUGACAUGAGUAACGAUAAAGGGGGUGAAAAACCUCCUCGCCGGAAGACCAAGGGUUCCUGUCCAACGUUAAUCGGGGCAGGGUAAGUCGACCCCUAAGGCGAGGCCGAAAGGCGUAGUCGAUGGGAAACGGGUUAAUAUUCCCGUACUUCUUACAAUUGCGAUGGGGGGACGGAGAAGGCUAGGUGGGCCUGGCGACGGUUGUCCAGGUUCAAGUGCGUAGGCUUAAGAGUUAGGUAAAUCCGGCUCUUUUUAAGGCUGAGACACGACGUCGAGCAUCUACGGAU